UACAGAGGGUGCAAGCGUUAAUCGGAAUUACUGGGCGUAAAGAGCUCGUAGGCGGUUUGUCACGUCUGCUGUGAAAUCCCGAGGCUCAACCUCGGGCCUGCAGUGGGUACGGGCAGACUGGAGUGCGGUAGGGGAGAAUGGAAUUCCUGGUGUAGCGGUGGAAUGCGCAGAUAUCAGGAGGAACACCGAUGGCGAAGGCAGUUCUCUGGGCCGUAACUGACGCUGAGGAGCGAAAGCGUGGGGAGCGAACAGG
rnacentral:rRNA from 1 species